rnacentral:rRNA from 1 species
UACGUAGGGGGCAAGCGUUGUCCGGAUUUAUUGGGCGUAAAGAGCGUGUAGGCGGCCAGGUAGGUCUGCUGUGAAAACUCGAGGCUCAACCUCGAGAUGUCGGCGGAAACCAUCUGGCUAGAGUCCGGAAGAGGAGAGUGGAAUUCCUGGUGUAGCGGUGAAAUGCGCAGAUAUCAGGAAGAACACCCGUGGCGAAGGCGGCUCUCUGGGACGGUACUGACGCUGAGGAGCGAAAGCGUGGGGAGCGAACAGG